GAUGAACGCUGGCGGCGUGCCUAAUACAUGCAAGUCGAGCGAACGGACGAGAAGCUUGCUUCUCUGAUGUUAGCGGCGGACGGGUGAGUAACACGUGGAUAACCUACCUAUAAGACUGGGAUAACUUCGGGAAACCGGAGCUAAUACCGGAUAAUAUUUUGAACCGCAUGGUUCAAAAGUGAAAGACGGCCUUGCUGUCACUUAUAGAUGGAUCCGCGCUGCAUUAGCUAGUUGGUAAGGUAACGGCUUACCAAGGCAACGAUGCAUAGCCGACCUGAGAGGGUGAUCGGCCACACUGGAACUGAGACACGGUCCAGACUCCUACGGGAGGCAGCAGUAGGGAAUCUUCCGCAAUGGGCGAAAGCCUGACGGAGCAACGCCGCGUGAGUGAUGAAGGUCUUCGGAUCGUAAAACUCUGUUAUUAGGGAAGAACAUAUGUGUAAGUAGCUGUGCACAUCUUGACGGUACCUAAUCAGAAAGCCACGGCUAACUACGUG
rnacentral:rRNA from 1 species